GACUCACUUUCAAUGGCUGCUAAUUAAAAUAUAUAUUCAGGGCAACUUAAAUCUGUCCUCCUCUUGGCUAUCCUCAAUAUCUGACAUUGAGUAAAUGUAUUUCAGGUUACAUUUUAACCUUUUUUAUUAUUUUAAGUUGACUGAGGGCUGGCCUGGAACAUUCUCCUUGGUAUAAAUACUCCAACUAUAAGCUACCUGCUCAGUAGAGGAAACUAAUCAACAGCAGGGCCUAGCAUAGGUCAAAGACACAAGCAGUGGGAAGCUUUUUGGGGCCUGGCUCCUAAUUGCAAGGACAGUUGCACAGGUGUCUCUGAAUGCUUAGACAGCCUGGCCUUUCCUGACCCAAUGCCCCCCAUCAGCUUUUUCAAGCACAUCUUGAUCUUUUGUCAUUCUGUUCUCUGGGGUGAAAACUCAUCGUCAGGGCUGUCUACAACAAAACAGAAGUAUCAGGUUACUAAAACCUCAGGAACAGAGAUUACGGAUUGGGUUAAGAGUGUGCCCUUUCUUAAGGAUGGUACGCAUGGAAAAGCAGCAAGCAGUUUCAGAAAGAUACAGGAAAAAUUGCCUCUAACGGAUAUUUAUACUUCAACUCAAUUUAUUCUGUAAGUGGUAGGGAAAAUGGGAUAAAAUACCAUAUGUUCAAGCAUUUUUGCUUCUCAGUCAGAAUGAAACCCUGCAGCAGGCAUGUCCAUGUUUCAUGAGAGAAAUAGAAGAAAAAGAGUUGGACAUACAAGAUGAUCCUUAUUUCAAGCCCCCCUGCCACUUGGUUCAGCGGGCAUUUUUGGGUGAAGCAGAACCUUUCUGUCAGGUCUGAAGGUUCAGAUGUGUUGGUCUUUUUUCCCACUAAUACACCUGAAAGUUCUAUUGAGAACCAUUUGUCCCUCCUCCCUACCCUUCUAGUCCCACUCUGUACCCACCACUCCCUGAAGAACUUAGCCCAGUGAGUACUACUCAUAGUGGAGCUGCCUAUCAACCUCCAAGGGGAAAUCUUUGUCCACCUACAGAGGUUGCAAAUGGGGAAGAAGGCCUGUGAGAGGAGGUGUCCCCUUUUCUCUGUCUGGUUUGGCUCUAUAAUAAGACAAGUUUGGUCAUUUCUCUGAAGAUGCAGGAAAAUUCAUAGGUGAGUUUGAGAAGUUAACUCUGACCUACAGUUUAACAUGGCAGGAUCUGUACAUUUUGUUGUCUCUGUGUUAUACAGUGGAAGAAAAACAAUGCAUUUUGGGGACAGCUAGGACUCAUGCAGAUGAGGUAUUGGCUUGCAACCCGAACCAUAAUAUAUAUCAGACAGGAGGUAUAGCAGUUCCAGAUCAAGAUCUAGAGUGGAACUAUCAAAGGGGGUGUGAGGACUUGGAAGAAGAGAUCAUAUGGUCACUUGUUUGUUGAAAGAGAUGAAGAAAUGUAUGAAAAAACCUGUUAACAAUGAAAAGGUUAAGCAACUUUCUCAGGGCAAAGAUGACAAUCCAGCUUUGUUUUAAUAGUGUUUAGUUGAGGCAAUCAGAAAAUAUACUAACACUGAUCUUGCCUCAAUGAAAAGAUAGACCCUUCUGGGAGUACAUUUUAUAACCCAGUCUGCCCCUGAUAUCCAUAGAAAACUACUAAAAGCAGCUAUGGGUCCCCAAACUUCUCUGGAACAGCUUUGGAUAUGGCAUUUUUAGUUUUUAAUAACAGGGACAAAGCGGAGGUAGCGGAAAGAGGAAGAAGGACCUCCCACAAGUUGCAGGUCUUGGUUGCAACCUUAAGCUAACCUCCCACAUGGGGUUGCCCUCCUGGGUCUUGGGUUGAACAAGGGAAGCUGAAAGGUGGGAAGCCUAAACCUGGGUGUCCGAGUCACUGUGCCUUGGGCAUAAAUCAGGUUGCACACUGUAAGAAAACUGACCACUGGAAGAGGGUUUGUCCAGUGUUCUGAAGAGAGCCAUCAGCACGUGAACUAAUGAUGGGUAAAACAGCCAGGCAAGCACCCAAGAGUGACGGGGACUGAGACCUUCCACCACGGUUUCCAUCAGACAACUAGCCAUAUAUCUGGAAAAGCCUCAGUAUUUUUUGCCAUGGCAGUUAAGAAUAUGAAGUUUCACCAGGUGCGGUGGCUCACACCUGUAAUCCUAGCACUUUGGAAGGCCGAGGUGGGUGGAUGACUUGAGGUCAGGAGUUCAAGACUAGUCUGGCCAACAUGGUGAAACCCCAUCUCUACU
rnacentral:lncRNA from 1 species